UUAGGGUUCACUCUUGGUGUUGUACACUCUAUAGUUUAGACAAAUGUAUAACAACAUGUAUCUAUCAUUAUAGCAUCAUACAAAGUAUUUUCACUGUCUAACUUACUUUUAAUCCGUGAAGCAGUCCAUGCAAAAUGUACUUACAUACCCAGUCCAUAGGUCACAAGUUUAUAACACUGGUUCAGUCUUUAGCCCUGGAAUCUCAGCUGUUUCUGCUCUUAGGUGGUAUGCAGUGGAUUCCUGAAGGUUAAGCCAUUUUUUUGACCAAGAUCAGGAUUACUUACUUUUAUAAAUGAUAGAUAACAUCACUUGUAAAAGUGAAUAAUGUGCCACUAAGUUCCUAUGGCACCUGUUUCCUAACCUGGUCUUCCAGACAGUUAAUAUGUAUCAAUAUUAUGUACAGAGAAGCCCUCAAGGUUAUUCACUACAGUGCAAGCUUUUGUGGGGGCCUCCGAGGACUGAAGUCGUUUAAUUGUAAUGAACAGUAUUUUUGUGCUUAAAUUUUUUGAAGAGCGUUAGUAAAUGAACCCAGAUAUUCCCAAACUGUGAAUAUUUAGUCAAACUUCAUUCAUACACAUCUUAUUCUGCAUAUUGUGUUAUAAAUAAUUAAGAUGGAGAUAAAAUUGUGAAAUAUUCAGGAUGAUUUUUGUUUACAAAAUAUCAAUUUUUUAACCUUCCAGUGAAUAUAAAAAUAUGAUGAUAUGGUGUGUAUUUGUAAGAAAAAAAGGAACAAAAUGAAAUUUCACUGUGAAUUAGGAAAAAUGUUGAACUGAACACUUUAGGGUAACAGAGUUAAAAACUGUUAUAUUUUGAAAAUCUAUCACUUUACGAAUUGAGAGAUGAAAAAUUUUAAAGUAGCUAAUUAUAACUAUUAAAAUUGCAUGAGGAGUUUUUGUAUUAUCUAUAAAAAUUCAGCUUGCAGAUUUUCACAAAUGUCUAUCUAUCUCUAGAGUGAAUAAAACUAUGAAUAGGAAAUUCCCCUCACUCACUUUCUUUCUCUUGGAAGUUUAUUGUGUAUUUUCACAAUAGACAGAUUAUGCUUUGCUCUAGACAAAAAUUGAAAUUAUCUACAAAAUACUACCCCCUGCUUUGUUUAGGGUCUUAUAUUUAUAGGAGAUGAAUUACUUGGUUGUGUAGUUAAUCUACCAGUUUUUGCUUUUACAGAAUUAAUAAAUAAUAAUAAUUUGCUCUUUUAGAAAGUCACAGUUAUAAUAACCAUCUCAUUAAUUAUUUCAUCAAACUGGGCCUUCUUAUAUAAUUCAGGUUCAUAUGGGCAUGACCUCUUCACAAAGGUAAAACUCAUGGUACAGAGAAGAGUUAAGGAAAGCAGGACUUUAGAAAGAGCUCACGUUGAAAGAACUGAAAUAUUCCUUUUUCAAUAAUGUAAAGGAGUGGAGAGGCUCUGAGGUAACAGGCAUUUUCACACCAGGCACUGUGACUGCAAACACAGGAUCUAUAUUCAUAGUCAUUUGCUCCUGUCAGCCAAAUUGCUUGAACUUGAGCCCUUUUCUACUGCUCUUUAGGCCCUGGAUCUAGUAAUAGUACCAAUUUGGAUUCUCAGCUGCAAACAGUAGAUAUUAAUUCUAGCAUAUUUAUGCAGAAUAAAUAAUUCACUGGAAGGAUGACAGGAAGCCUUCUGAAUUAAUAGAAAAUUGGAUAACCACACUAAGAAAAAGAGAGAACCAGGGAGAACAGGCAGCAAGAAUCUAGUCCAUCCACACCACAGACACUGUCACUAGAUGAUGCAACAGGAAUUACAGCCACUGAACUACUUACUAGUGAUGUCACUGGCAUUACAAGUAGAGCUCUCUUUCAAGCUUCAGGUCCCUUAACGUCUCUGUCACUAUAGCCACUGGAUUGGAUAAAUUUAGGCCAAAUCCACACCCUUGCUCAAAAAUUGCAAGAACUGCCUUACUUCAGUUUCUAAAAAGCAAUGUGGAGCUUUAUCUAUCACUGCUUCUGGAAUUGCCUCAGAAAGGAAAUGUAUUUAGGUUCUCGGUUGCUGAAGUUGUACAAAUUCCACUAAGCUCCUCCCCUUUAGUUCUCCAAUAUUUAUAUAUACCUUUCUUAAACUUGAAGCUCCAAAAAUAUAAUACAACUACUUCUUCACAGUCUCCAAAAACACACAAGCCUCCUCUUCAAGGAAAGAAAACCCAAAAUUUCAUUAGCUAAUGCUUUUAUCAGCACAGGACUAUGGAAUGAUAUCCAUUCUUGCUCUGGUUUUGCCACAAUCCUGAAAGGAUAUUCAUGUACAGAUGUGAUGGAUUUUAGAGUUAUCUGUCACCACAGCCUUGAAAUUUCAAUAAUGAGAGGUAAAAAGAGGAAUGAAAAGGGAAAAUAGUUAAGAUAUAUAAAUGUCACAGCAAAGAGGUAAAGCAGGUUAAAGUUAUGGUACGUCUUUCAAUAGCUGGCCACAACAGUAUCUAUAGUAUUUAUAAGUUUCCCCCUUUCCAUUUGACCUUCAACCUACACCUCAGCCAGUUGGGGUUCUUUAUUCAGUGACAUAACCUAAACCUUUAUUUCUGAGGCAUCUGUAUCUUGAUGUUCCUAUUCAUAUGGCAUUCCACUGAAUUCAACCACUGGACCUACUUGUACAAAGAAGUAUUGUAUGAGAGUACAUGUUUUGUUAUUGUUAGUGGUUUUUUGUUUGUUUGCUUGCUUUUAGCAUCUCUUUCCUUCCUAUUUUUCCUGACUUGAAGAUUUCAAAAAGGCUAAGUAGAAGUAGUCACUUCUAAAUCAAUGAAACCAUUUUUAUAUCUCUUAAUGGAAGCAUUACUCCUUUAGAUGAUAAAACCUCUAAAAAGCAGAAUCCAGAAUUAUAGAGCAGAGAUGCAAACAUUUUUCCAAUGGGUAAUUAGUUUUAAUUAUGAAAGGUGCCACCCCACUGCCAUUCCUUUGGAGUUUGUGAAGAAAAAGCAACAUAUACUGGUUCAGAUUAUACAUUAGUUCAGAGGAUGCAUAGAAACUUACAGGAAAGCAGUCCAACUUGGCAGAGUGAUUGUCAUCUGAGAUCUUAACAGUGUCUUAAAUGGCUAUCUUGUUCUGUAAAUGAAGCCAGGUGGAAUUCUGUGGAGCCUUCCCAGGGACAGACAUCCCCACUCUCCACACUGUGUCUGCACCUCUUAUUUAUAGAAAAACUUUAGCUUCCUAGGCCUUCCCUGAGUUCUAAAGAGUAAAUUUAAUCAGAGAAGCAAGGAAUUGCAAAAACAAAGGAAAACAAUUAAGCAAGACAAAGUAAGAAUAGUUUAGCCAUAAAAUAAAGACCUUUAAUUCAUCCUCAAGGAUAAAUAAUUGAGCCAUGUCCUUGAGUAUUUUUGCAGAUACUGAAACCUCCACUGGGAGGAAGAGUUAACUGCAGGCUGACCAUCAGCAGGUAGACCCAAGACAAGCUGGAAUCAAAAGGUUAAUGAUUCAGAUUCCUGAAACAUCACCCUGUUACCUCACCAUCAACCAAUCAGGGAGCUGAUCAUAUACCUUGUGACUCUCUCCUUCACACUGUCUUUAAAACCCUUCCCUGAAAGCCAUCUGGGAGCUCAGGUCUUUUGACCAUGAGCCACCCGUUCUUGCUUGGCCUUACAAGAAAUGCUACACUUUACUUCCCUACAACCUAGUGUCAGUAGAUUGGCUUCGCUUCACAUCCUGUGAGCAGACCCAUGGUCACCUGUUUAGGAAGGUAGGAUAUGUAAAUUCAAUAGAACCCAAUAGAAAUUAAUCAGCUGCCUUACUUUUUUAUUGAAAAGCAAGUUUCUUGGUUAGAAGAAUCUAGGUGUGAAAUAUCUUAGUUGUAUUUAAAACAUUCAGUAAUCCAUGAAAGAUGGGUUAAUACACACAUGGCAGGCAAGAAAAGCAAAACUGACUCUGUGUCUAUUCCUGUAAGAAAAUAAUAGCUCAGUUUUCCAGGUAAUUGUUUUAUCCUUAGACAAGUCAGUCAAUUGCUAUUACUAUUUCUACAGAUAAAUCAGGAACUCAGCAAAGAAGACUUAGUGUGAUGCCAAGCAGUGCAGCUCUGUAAAGAUGCCCUGCUUGCUCAGACCAGGAAUGCUCUGCAAAGAGCUGAUGUUGAAGGCUGGGGUGUGAAAGUAGAGCAGCCCUGUUUUGCCUAUAGAUUAUUUGCUGGCCUUCUAGUGAUUUGAGGUAUAGCAAAAUUAGUCAUGUUCCCUUUAUAAAAAAAUUCAGAUUAUUUAAUACAUUUAUUACCUUCCAGUAUUCUAAGGAGAUAUGCUAUUUGACAUCAUAGAAAGAAAUGGUGGUCUUUUAGCUUAAAAAAGUGUUCUGUCUAGAAGCCACCAAUUUUAAAAUUAAAAUAAUUAAGGGAGUGAAAAAGAAGAAUACCGCUGCUACCAAAAAUGAAAGCUAGUAGACAAAUGAGUGCCAGAAUCAGGCAUUUCAACCAAAGUAAUGGAUCAAGGAGGAGAAAUGAUCCCUCUUCACUUUUAUAACAUGUUCAGCUUUGCUCCAUUAACAGCUUAGCUUAUCCAGAAAAAGGGCAGAGGAACUCUCACCCACAAGAAACACUAUCACCAGUUCGGUCUGACUCCAUACAGAGAACUAUGCUCUUAUUGAAAUUCUUUUAAAUCCUGCUGAUAUAUUCCCAUCAAGUAUGAAAAUUGCAGUCCAAUAUGUUCUCCUUACAAUUCUCUCCUAUUUUUUUCUACAUCCUUCAAGAGACAAGAUCUAGGAAACAAUGUGAUGGAAAGCAAGGGUGGGUACCAAAUAGCAGCAGGCUGUCUGAUGAGAGUUGUAGUCACAAGUAAGUUUUUGUAAUCAGGGGAAGGAGUCUCAGCUAUCACACAUUUUCAGAAUUGUGAUUUUUAAUCUGGGAGUUCCCGUCAUGGCACAGUGGUUAACGAAUCCGACUAGGAACCAUGAGGUUGCGGGUUCGGUCCCUGCCCUUGCUCAGUGGGUUAACGAUCCGGCAUUGCCGUGAGCUGUGGUGUAGGUUGCAGACGCGGCUCAGAUCCCGCGUUGCUGUGGCUCUGGCGUAGGCCGGUGGCUACAGCUCCAAUUCAACCCCUAGCCUGGGAACCUCCAUGUGCCGCAGGAGCAGCCCAAGAAAUAGCAACAACAACAA
rnacentral:lncRNA from 1 species